UACGUAGGGCGCAAGCGUUAUCCGGAAUUAUUGGGCGUAAAGAGCUCGUAGGCGGUUUGUCGCGUCUGCCGUGAAAAUCCAGGGCUUAACCCUGGACCUGCAGUGGGUACGGGCAGACUAGAGUGCGGUAGGGGAGAUCGGAAUUCCUGGUGUAGCGGUGAAAUGCGCAGAUAUCAGGAGGAACACCGAUGGCGAAGGCAGGUCUCUGGGCCACUACUGACGCUGAGAAGCGAAAGCAUGGGGAGCGAACAGG
rnacentral:rRNA from 1 species